ACACACUUGUGAACAUGGGCCAUACUUGUGGCUUUUUAAAAAAUAAAAUAUUUAAAAUUGUUUUCUGUACUUAAUCUUGAAGAUAAUGUGCUAAGUGAAAUAAACUCAUCACAAAAAGACAAAAAUGGUAAGACUCUAUUUAUACAAGAUUCCUAGAGUAGCGAGGUUCAUAGAGACAGUCAAUGGAAUGACAGUUUUCAGGGGUUGUGAGGUGGGGCAUAUGGGAACUAAUGGUUGUACUAUAUUGAUAAUAUAUUUAAAACCACUGCAGUGGGAGGAGAGAUUCAUUACAGAGUUGUCUUUUGACCUCCACACAUGCACCAUGACAUGACCAUAUCAUAUCAUAUCAUAUCAUAUCAUAUCAAAUCAUAUCAUAUAUCAUAUCAUACAUGUGUGUGUGGUACAUUUUAUCUUACAUAUUUUUGUAUUGUUUAUAGUAACACAAAAUGAGCAGUUUUUUCAUAAAUGCUUUAUAAGUCCUGACACUAAUAAAAGUCUGUCCUAUAAUUUGUUGCUAUUCAACAUUAGUGACACAUUAGUGAUAGUGAGGACAUGUACAAUGCCAAUAAGAUUUGUAAAUCAUAGGCCAAUCAUCAAUCAAAAAAAAAUCGAUAUCUUAGAGAUCGUCAGGUAACGGGUCCUACCCCAUGUGCUCCUGAAUGCUUGCGUUCAUGCAUGCAUGCAUGCAUUCAGUCAUGCAUGUAUCCAUUCCUGACUACUCAUGCAUAGCACUAAUUGCAUCCUGAAGAUAGGCUUGACUUCAAGGUGUCUAGAAGCCUACAGGAGGAACGGCCGCUGGUUCAGUAGGUGGAGGUAACAGAGCCACAAACUCCAGGAGCUUUGAGGACAGACACACUGGUCAUGCCGCCUGAAAAUCUUCACCCUUUAUUAGACUGGAUGACUAGGAAAUGGUUUUGUUUUGCUUUUGUUCCUGGAUACUUAGACUGUGUAAAGUAAUGAAAGGAGUGGAGCCAGGAACUUACUGUUUAAUGUCUAUGGGAAAAGAAGACUAAAGGGCGAUUCUCAUUUGGUGCAAUAAUUUCUCAAUCAUUUACGCAGUGACAGUGGCAGGUAAUAGCAGAGAGGAUACUCAGGCUGUGAAAUACAGUGGAUUAUUGUUUAUUCAUUCAACCAAGACACUCUCCAUAGGCCACCCACGCAACAAUGAAAUAUACUUUUAAAACACACAGAACGCAGAUCAGAAUUCCCCAGCCACUUUUGGUAUCUCUGUCCUCUGGCAAGGAUGAAUCUUCCAAGGGUCCCAAGGACAUUUCUUGCUUUUAGUCAAGAAGGAAAUUUACUUUUCUUUUGGGGUCUUUUUUACCCUAAACUGCUUAGCCACUUCUUGCUCUUAUCAUCCUUCCUCCUUCUGAAGAGGUAACGCUAACUGCCAUUGUGAACUUCCAGCUGGAUUUGGGGUGUCAGGUCAGGUGUAGUAGUUUAAUGAUAACCCCCCCCAGAAGGCCUAUCUGGAAGACCCCAAUUGUCAGAUACAGGGAGGAAAGGACUCCCUAUAUAUGACUAGUAUUGUUAAACUUGAAAAUUUUAAGGAAGAUCAAAUCUAUGAUUGUCCGAUUGAAGCAAACUUUGUUAAAUACUGGCCUGGAAGCUGAACACUGGCAGGUCGGAAUCUGGGACUUUCAGAGACGUGGUACUGAAUUAGGUCACUCAGGUGCCUAUAAAGGCCAAACCUACAAGACUACGUUCCUUCCUCCUUUGUCCAAUUAGGGGCAGGCAUACAUCCUGAUAUACUGCCUGCCUGCCUGCAUACUUCCCGCCUACAUGUGAUGGAGCCCGGCCUGUGCAGUUGGGGCAACCAACCUUGUUUACUGAAGUGAGAACACAUGGCCUGUUAUUUUACGUGAACAGCAUCUCCAGCAUUCAUUCUAGGAAGCUGCCCAUCCUUGGGCAAUUGGAGCUUACAGGGUAUGUGGAUUGAGAUAUUUAAAUGUCCAAAUCAAAGUCCAUCAGAAUCUCUUGAUUGGCUUACAAAAGCCUCCAUCCAUUUGGCUCUUUAUUGACAAAAGAAUGUUUAAAAAUCAGAGGAGGGAUUUGUAGGAAAUAUUAAAUGUGAAUCUUUUCUAUCAAACAGUAUAAAAUUUGUAUUUAGGAUAAGGAAUUUAAACCUUUUUAUCCCCCCCCCCACACACACCUUUAAGACUUUUAUGCAAAUGCUUUACUGCUCCCCGCCCCAUGCCCUCCUCCAGCAAAACCACUGUUUACACACAAGCCCUCUGCUGUGUUCCAGGACUUUGAUGGCCUGGAGCAGUGACACUUUCCCUUUCCUCCUUCAUUUCCUGCUUACCAGUUCCUUUCACACUAGCCAAUUGAAUAAGACUAUGAGGUCAGACCAAUAGGGGAAAGAUUCAGUCACUACCUGAGCUAGACUAAAAGCCUACUGAACUUCCUGCCUGUGUUCUCUCCGAGCCAGCACCCCAUCUUGAUUAAGAAAGGGUACAGUUUUGCCUGCUCCAGACCCAAACCUAAACAAAGC
rnacentral:lncRNA from 1 species